UGCGGUGACUCUCUACCUGCAAAUCAAAGCGACGAGAAGCAACAACAAAACAGUCCAAACAGUCUGACUGUUUAGAUGACAGUUAAUAGGUAACCUGCCCAGAGAAUGAGGACAUUCGGUGUCGUACUCUCUGUGACUCUACUCGCCUUUGUUUGCUUUCAGAGGAUCUCUGCCCUGCCAUUUAUGACAAGUAAUUUUAUGCUCUUAAGCGUGCUUCACAAUGAGCAGCCGGAGGAGGAGUUGAGUGACACUAGCGAAUCACAAGAGUCAUCAGAAAUGUGGAUGAUGCCGUACGACAUGAGGGAAAACAAUUACCCUGGCCCCGUCAGAUGCCGGUUCUGCUGCGGCUGCUGCCUGGCUGAUGUCUGCGGCUUGUGCUGCGACUGAAAUUCCGCUGCGCUCAGAAUUUUAGCUGCUGCCACUGAUAUUUAUUCCUGUUGUCUUCAAUUAAACACGCGACGUCACCGAAUGCAUUCGUAGGUUCAGACGCCACAUCAUUUUCCGCUUGCUGUCGAGCGCGGAGAAAGAAAUUGCUGUGGAAAACAAAACAAAAAAAAUAAAAAAAUAAAUAAAUUAAAAGCUAAACUCACUAUCCGUUGUGUGCUUUUUUGUUAAUCAUUUGCCUGAAAUGUCUUAACUUUCACGAGCAGACUUGAGCGCGGAAGGCCUCAGAACUUCAGCACAGUCACACGAUUUCCAUCGCUGGUGCUGUUUAGGAGAUAAUAUCCUGCGUUGGCGUCCAACAAACAAUACUUCCAGCAAAAAUAUUAUCUUCCAAGGGAGUUGUGCUGUCCAAGUGCAAACCGAGCUCGGCUUCGUGGCGGUUCACUUAUUAUCCAGCAGAGAACAGGGAGGUAUGGCGAGCUGCCACGGCGGUGUGGAUAUUAUUGUGUUGCUUUCAGCUUGGCUUGAUCGCGCCUCACAGCUCUAACAACCACAGAGGUCAAAUAAACAGCCUGGUGUUAAAUUUGCACAAAAAAAUAAAAAGAAAUGAUUAGGGAACACACA